rnacentral:misc_RNA from 1 species
AACGCACAUUGCGCCCCGUGGUAUUCCGCGGGGCAUGCCUGUUCGAGCGUCAUUUCAACUCUCAAGCACUGCUUGGUAUCGGGUACUAUCUGGUUAGGUAGGCCUUAGAAUUAGUGGCGAUGCUGUCUAGCUCUAAGCGUAGUAAUAUUUCUCGCUAUAGGUGUUAGGCGGUACUCAGCUAUAGUUCAUUUUUACAGUUGACCUCGGAUCAGGUAGGGAUACCCGCUGAACUUAA